UACAAAUUAAGACCUGUUAACUAGAAUCUAAAAUUGUUUUUCUGUUUUAGAUAUAACUUUUGCCCACCAAAUUUUGCAGCGAGAAAUUCAAGGGACAAGUUCCAAUGAUGCUGGAUGCUCGAAUGAAGAGGAACCAGUAAAGCAGGUAUCGGAGGACAUUCCUGUCAACACAUAUAAGUGGUCCCAUGAGGCAGUCCUUCUUUUAUUAGAAUUAUAUAGAGAAAAAGAAAAUUUAAUUACGUCUGGUAAAAUAAGUCAAAAAAAGCAUGGGAUAGAAUUUCAGAAAUAUUAAAUAAUAAAGGACAUGAUGUUACUGGGCCACAGUGUAUGACCAAGUUUAAUGGACUGAAAAGAACGUUUAAGUCAAUUAAAGAUCACAACAACAAGUCGGGAAACAGUCCUAGGACUUGGCCUUACCUACAGGUAAUGGAUGAUCUAUUAGGAAAUAGGCCAUUUAUGGCUCCACUUUCCACAGUUUGUUCAUCAGGUACAGAAAGCGAAGGAAGCAGACCUUCUUCUGCAUGUUCUGAGCCAUUGUCCGCCACUCCUUCACGAAAACGCAAAAUGGAACAAGAUGUAUCUCUAAUCAGCAAAGCAAUUACAAAAUCGCGAGAAAUUGCAGAGUUGAAUCGUCAGCGACGAUACGAAGAAAAUAUGACCCAACGACAAAAUUUGUUGGAAAAAUUGGACAAAUUAAUAGAUAAAAUGUAGACAUUUCUGUAUUCGUUCUUUAUUAAUAUCUGAUUAAAUACAUUAGAAAA